CAUACACAUACAAACUCUGUCAUCUACACUUAGUCUAUGAAGUAUGCCUAUUCUAAGAUGGAAUCGAGGGCGCCGGUGGCCGGAAUCUAUCCGCCGCUGGAUGGAAUUGUGCCUCGUGCACUUGGGUUUGACCCUCCCCGAUGCGUGGAGUCGCCAACAGCAAGGCAGCCAAUCUUCGGUUGGUGGUGCAGGAAACAACGUUGAUGAUGAGGCUGAUGCUAGUGCUAUCAAUGCAAUGAUGAUCAUUCAUAAGCAUUCUGGAAUUGAUAAUCAUCCAAUGCAAAGUAUCCUCUAUGGUGUUAUCAAUGCCAGUACCAUAACUCCAUAUGCAUUCUGGAAUUGAUGAACGGUGAUCAUUUAGCCAUGGUGGGCAUGGAAAGUCACAGUGGUUACUAUGUUAUUGCCAGUAUAACAGAUUUACCCUUGGCCUUGCCAUUGGGAGUUGUUUUUUCUUUCAAGAUUACAAGCUCAUGAUUCAUGAAGUCUGAGCUGCCAGCUCUGAAGACCAAGCGAAGUAAAUUUGGAACUUCCUAUGGAGGUGCCACCAUGCUAGGAUUAAAAUGUUUGAAUUUGUAUGGUGUUUCUAACUAAGAAGUUCAAUAUUUUGGUAUGUUUGGCAUGUGGAAAGGUGUUGAAGCAACAUACAUUUUUAGCUAGAAACUCACAAUGUGUUCCUCUUUAGCUAGAGUGGUUUGAAAUUUUAGAUGGUUUCUCAUUCUGCUAUAGUUAGAACAGGUUGCUAGAGCAAUAUGUAAGAAAAAAAAAUUCGUGGUAUGAGUUGUGAAGUUAUCA